AUGUCAUGCAUGAUAUAUGAGCUUGUGCAUUUCCUUAGCAAAUUUGUUGUGAUAUACCUCAAUGGCAUCUCCAUCCAUAAUGAUCACAUUGCCCACUAUCAAUUGCAUGAUCACAUACUCACAUUGAGCACCAAUUACCAUGUUCAUGCUUUUGAUACACCAUCACAUUAUGACAUCAUUUUGCACAAUGGUCGCAUUCAUCAUAUUCACAACACCUUUGUGCAUGCCUCAAAUGAAUUUGACAACAUGAAUGCUUUGCAUAUCAUUUUAUAUCAUUUGUCUAAGCAUCCUGUGUCUUGUCACGAACAAUCUUGUUGCACAGACUCAUUCUUACAUGAUGGACACUUUGUGUGCGCUAACCAUUGUAUUUAUGAGUGUUGCUUGUAUUUGCUCUUUUUGCAUGAAUACCACUCCGGAGACACCUUGGAGUACUUGGAUUGCGCCAUGUAUUCAACUUCGUCCAACUACAAGUCCGUCCAUGACAACCGUUUCCAUGGUGAUGAUGAUCAUGAUCCGAGGUCAGAUCUUUCCCGAGGGGGGGGGGAGAUGAUGCAGAGCAUCCUAAGAUCAUCCCCAUGUUCACUUCGACCACUCCCCAUGACCCAAGGAUACAUAGGAUGA
rnacentral:rRNA from 1 species